GAUGAAGAACGUAGCGAAAUGCGAUACUUGGUGUGAAUUGCAGAAUCCCGUGAACCGUCGAGUCUUUGAACGCAAGUUGCGCCCGAAGCCACUAGGCCGAGGGCACGCCUGCCUGGGCGUCACACGCCGUUGCCCCCCCAUCUACUCCUUCGGGAUUGCGGGGGGGCGGAUGAUGGCCUCCCGUGCGCCUAGCCGCGCGGUUGGCAUAAAUACCAAGUCCUCGGCGACGCACGCCACGACAAUCGGUGGUUGCGAAACCUCGGUUGCCCGUCGUGUGCGUUCGUCGCGCAUCGAGGGCUCGAAAAAAUGCUCGGCUCCGGCUGGGCUUUCAACGCGACCCCAGGUCAGGCGGGGUUACCCGCUGAAUUUAAGCAUAUCAAUAAGCGGAGGA
rnacentral:misc_RNA from 1 species